GCCUUCGUGGUGUAGUGGUCAGCGCGCUCGACGCGUAUUCGAGAGAUCCCUGGUUCGAGUCCCGGCGAGGGCA
rnacentral:tRNA from 1 species